rnacentral:rRNA from 1 species
AUUGAACGCUGGCGGCAUGCCUUACACAUGCAAGUCGAACGGUAACAGGUUAAGCUGACGAGUGGCGAACGGGUGAGUAAUGUAUCGGAACGUGCCCAGUCGUGGGGGAUAACUACUCGAAAGAGUGGCUAAUACCGCAUACGACCUGAGGGUGAAAGCGGGGGACCGUAAGGCCUCGCGCGAUUGGAGCGGCCGAUAUCAGAUUAGCUAGUUGGCGGGGUAAAAGCCCACCAAGGCGACGAUCUGUAGCUGGUCUGAGAGGACGAACAGCCACACGGGGACUGAGACACGGCCCAGACUCCUACGGGAGGCAGCAGUGGGGAAUUUUGGACAAUGGACGCAAGUCUGAUCCAGCCAUGCCGCGUGCGGGAAGAAGGCCUUCGGGUUGUAAACCGCUUUUGUCAGGGAAGAAACGCUCUGGAUUAAUACUCUGGGGUAAUGACGGUACCUGAAGAAUAAGCACCGGCUAACUACGUGCCAGCCGCCGCCGUAAAAC